rnacentral:rRNA from 1 species
GAUGAACGCUGGCGGCGUGCCUAAUACAUGCAAGUCGAGCGAACAGACGAGGAGCUUGCUCCUCUGACGUUAGCGGCGGACGGGUGAGUAACACGUGGAUAACCUACCUAUAAGACUGGGAUAACUUCGGGAAACCGGAGCUAAUACCGUAUAAUAUAUUGAACCGCAUGGUUCAAUAGUGAAAGACGGUUUUGCUGUCACUUAUAGAUGGAUCCGCGACGCAUUAGCUAGUUGGUAAGGUAACGGCUUACCAAGGCAACGAUGCCUAGCCGAGCUGAGAGGGUGAUCGGCAACACUAGAACUGAGACACGGUCCAGAGUCCUACGGGAGGCAGCAGUAGGGAAUCUUCCGCAAUGGGCGAAAGCCUGAAGGAGCAACGCCGCGAGAGUGAUGAAGGUCUUCGGAUCAUAAAACUCUGUUAUUAGGGAAGAACAAAUGUGUAAGUAAAUAUGCACGUCUUGACGGUACCUAAUCAGAAAGCCACGGCUAACUACGUG